CGGCGGACGGGUGAGUAACGCGUGGGUAACCUGCCUCAUACAGGGGGAUAACAGUUGGAAACGGCUGCUAAUACCGCAUAAGCGCACAGUACCGCAUGGUACGGUGUGAAAAACUCCGGUGGUAUGAGAUGGACCCGCGUCUGAUUAGCUAGUUGGUGGGGUAACGGCCCACCAAGGCGACGAUCAGUAGCCGACCUGAGAGGGUGACCGGCCACAUUGGGACUGAGACACGGCCCAG
rnacentral:rRNA from 1 species